rnacentral:rRNA from 1 species
UACGUAGGGUGCAAGCGUUAAUCGGAAUUACUGGGCGUAAAGCGUGCGCAGGCGGCUUUACAAGACAGAUGUGAAAUUCCCGGGCUUAACCUGGGAACUGCAUUUGUGACUGCAUGGCUGGAGUGCGGCAGAGGGGGAUGGAAUUCCGCGUGUAGCAGUGAAAUGCGUAGAUAUGCGGAGGAACACCGAUGGCGAAGGCAAUCCCCUGGGCCUGCACUGACGCUCAUGCACGAAAGCGUGGGGAGCAAACAGG